rnacentral:rRNA from 1 species
UACGUAGGGUGCAAGCGUUAAUCGGAAUUACUGGGCGUAAAGCGUGCGCAGGCGGUUUUGUAAGUCUGACGUGAAAUCCCCGGGCUCAACCUGGGAAUUGCGUUGGAGACUGCAAGGCUGGAGUCUGGCAGAGGGGGGUAGAAUUCCACGUGUAGCAGUGAAAUGCGUAGAUAUCGAGAGGAACACCUGCGGCGAAGGCGGGUUGCUGGGCUGACACUGACGCUGAGGCGCGAAAGCUAGGGGAGCGAACGGG